ACGCUCGACACCUACGAGGCAGCAGUGGGGAAUAUUGCACAAUGGGGGAAACCCUGAUGCAGCAACGCCGCGUGAAGGAAGACGGUUUUCGGAUUGUAAACUUCUGUUCUUAGUGAAGAUAGUGACGGUAGCUAAGGAGCAAGCCACGGCUAACUACGUGCCUGCAGCCGCGGUAAUCUGAGGCGGGCUGGACAAGGC
rnacentral:rRNA from 1 species